GGGGAGAUACCAAAGUGGCCAACUGGGGUUGACUGUAACUCAACUGGCGUACGCCUUCGUAGGUUCGAAUCCUGCUCUCCCCA
rnacentral:tRNA from 1 species